GCGCACGGGUGAGUAACGCGUGGAUAAUCUGCCCUUAUGAUCGGAAUAACAGUUGGAAACGGCUGCUAAUACCGGAUACGCUCAAAAUGAACUUUUUGAGGAAAGAUGGCCUCUGCUUGCAUGCUAUCGCGUAAGGAUGAGUCCGCGUCCCAUUAGCUUGUUGGCGGGGUAACGGCCCACCAAGGCAUCGAUGGGUAGCCGAUUUGAGAGGAUGAUCGGCCACACUGGAACUGAAACACGGUCCAGACUCC
rnacentral:rRNA from 1 species